CGUAUACCCACGUUAACUCCAACCCAACAAUCAUCCGGCGGCCUAAGCUCAUAUGACGCUUCUCUUCAAGUGGCUGCUCGAGCCCUGGUGAUGUCUGUCUGAACAUUUUGGGGCUUGGGCGGGCUGAGAGUGGGUCAAGAAGAUAAUGGUGUUCUUCUUCUGCGCAAAAAUGGCUGGAUCGGUGAACAAGGUAGAUGACCUCAACUCGGCCCAACACCACACGCGCGACUUCCAUGUGUUUCACUAAAGAUGGACUGGAUCAAUCCUUUUCGAUGAAGAGAACAUCUAUGCUUUAGCGAGUGAUUCACCGGAUCCGUGUGUAAUCUAGCUAAGAGCAUGAUGAUCCUGCUACGCCCCCGCUGGUGUGCUCUGCUCAAGAUGGAAUUCUUCUCCUGCCCUUCCUUCCUUCAGUCAUGCAGCACGCCUACUACACUGGUUGUGCUACUAGGAAAUAUACAAAGACAACUACAGCUCGCAUGGACGGGCCACUGUUUGCUUUUGAACGAAAUGUACUCAUCUAUAGUAUACGUUUUUUUUUAAGAAGCGUAGGAGAACUGCCGUUUUCUUUAAUAGGAAGAAGAUUGCAGAAGAGCGCCAUCAUCUAUAGUAUAAGUUGCAGUUGGCAAACAAGCAACUACUACCUUGCUUAUGUGUCUCGGGGUUGAAGAAUUUCCAAACGAUUUUUUAACCUA